UGAUGGAACAUUAUCAAUCCUUACAUAUAUCUCAUAUACGGGAGGAGGGGGAGGCCUGUCUGCCGCUGCCGCUGCCCCACUCCUCCUCAAAGGGAGAUCGGUCUGGCAUGGGCACUCCGCGGCACUGGAGCGGCUUCGCAGAUGGCAUGGCUUCAACGCUGAACUCCUUCUGAGUUUGAGCCUCAACAAGGAACUCAGUGAUGUGCCAAUUAAAACGUUGAAGUAUCUUUGCCUGCCUGGUUUGCAAGAUGAAAAGGACUGAUAAUAUUUACUGUUGGUGAAAGCUACAGGCAUUCUCUUGCUAACUCUCAACCCUCAAUAACUCGGAUCUCAUGCCACUCUUCCCCACAAUCCCUCAGAGACUUGAGCAUCCUUGGAUUUGGGUAUGGAGAGGAUGUCCUGAAACCGAUCUCUCACAGAGACACGGAGGGAUGACUGUAUAUACAAUUUCACCACUUCUGCAACCAUGAUCUAUCAAAGGCAUGGAAGAGGAAGACAGACAACCUGCCCUGGAGCCACAGACCCAAAAGGAAAAGGAAACAAUUGUUUUUUGACCUUCUACUCAGGAGCAGACAUUUAAUUUUGUAAGCAUUAUCUCCUUUAACAUUUAUUACCACCCCAAAGUGACAGAGGCAGCCAUUAUUCUCACUUGACAGGUAAGGAAACUGAAACUCAAAGUUCACAAUAUCAUCUAC